rnacentral:rRNA from 1 species
UACGAAGGGGGCUAGCGUUGUUCGGAAUUACUGGGCGUAAAGGGCGCGCAGGCGGCUCAUUUUGUCAGGCGUGAAAGCCCCGGGCUUAACCUGGGAACUGCGUUUGAUACGGAUGGGCUAGAGUUCGGGAGAGGAGCGUGGAAUUCCCAGUGUAGAGGUGAAAUUCGUAGAUAUUGGGAAGAACACCGGUGGCGAAGGCGGCGCUCUGGACCGAGACUGACGCUGAGGCGCGAAAGCGUGGGGAGCAAACAGG